AAAAGUAAUAGUAGUAAAUAAUUAAAUCUUACCGUAAAAGUGUCGUACCAAAUUGUGCCCCUUUUCUCAUUAAAGCCGCUCCAGCACCAAGUCCAAACAAUCCAAAACCUGCUCCAAAGUAUGGAUUGUCAGCCAAAGUUCACCCGACGAGUGAACUAAGGGAGAAACCUGAACGCUACCCGGGGAGACAUGGCAAGCUGCGUAGUUCCAGAAACGCCGCCCCCAAUUGGCGUUAAUGUUACGAAUCUCGAUUCCAGCUUCUGUGUCCUUAAUGCAACUGGUUUAGGAAGCUGUAUGGCUAUGUCUGGUUGAACCGUCAUAUAAUAAUCGUGCUACGCACGCUUCAAGCACACAUGCGACUCGUACGAUGGGACCCAUAUCGCACGCAAAUGGCAAGCAUAUUCCGCGUUUAACUGGUGGGUAAGUGUGUGCGUGCAAAAUGAGACUCAUUCAGCCAUCACUUAUGUUAUUUCGUCGUAGUUCUUACUGAUUAAAUAUAAAAAAUGUGUCAAUAAUAUCAGAGAUGAGUUGGGAGAUUGCUCAUGUAAUGGA